AUGCCGAAGAAGAGCAAGAAGAGCAAGAGCAAGCGGGUCACGCUCAAGGCGAAGCACAAGGUGCUGCGCAAGGUCAAGGAGCACCACCGCAAGAAGCGCAAGGAGGCGAGGAAGGAGGGCAAGACCGGCCGGAGCAAGGUCGAGAAGGACCCCGGGAUCCCCAACGAGUGGCCCUUCAAGGAGCAGGAGCUCAAGAACCUGGAGGUGCGCCGCGCCAUGGCCAUCAAGGAGCAGGAGGACAAGAAGGAGGCCCGCAGGGAGAGGGCUAGGAAGAGAAAGCUCGGAAUACCCGACGAUGAAGACAUGGCUAAUGACAAUGACGCAGCAGAGGUGACUGCUGCUUUAGCGGUGCCUAAGACCAAUGACCAUUCAGAGAGAGCCUUCUACAAGGAGCUGGUUAAAGUCAUCGAAGCUUCCGAUGUGAUUCUCGAGGUUCUUGAUGCAAGGGACCCACUGGGCACUCGCUGCGUUGACAUGGAGAAGAUGGUCAGGAAGGCUGAUCCAACUAAACGGAUUGUGCUGCUUCUCAACAAGAUAGAUCUUGUCCCCAAGGAGUCGGUAGAGAAGUGGCUUUCAUAUCUAAGGGAGGAAUUGCCAACUGUUGCAUACAAGUGCAACACUCAAGAGCAGAGGACCAAGCUGGGAUGGAAAUCGUCAAAGCUUGAUAAAACAAGCAAUAUCCCACAAAGCAGUGAUUGUCUUGGUGCUGAGAACCUGAUUAAACUGCUAAAAAAUUAUUCCAGGAGUCAUGAGCUCAAGUUGGCAAUUACUGUGGGUAUUGUUGGCCUUCCUAAUGUUGGCAAGAGCAGUCUAAUCAACAGUUUGAAGAGGUCCCGUGUGGUUAAUGUCGGUUCUACUCCAGGGGUUACUAGAUCAAUGCAGGAGGUUCAGUUAGACAAGAAGGUGAAGUUGUUGGAUUGUCCUGGUGUUGUGAUGCUCAGAUCUACCAGCAGUGGUGUGUCUGUAGCUCUUCGUAAUUGCAAAAGAGUUGAGAAGAUGGACGAUGUAAUCACUCCUGUUAAAGAAAUCAUCAGUCUUUGCCCACACGAGAAAUUGCUGUCUCUGUACAAGGUGCCAAGCUUUACUUCAGUUGAUGAUUUCCUUCAAAAACUUGCUACACUCAGGGGGAAAUUGAAAAAAGGUGGUAUAGUGGAUGUGGAAGCUGCUGCAAAAAUAGUGAUUCAUGACUGGAAUGAAGGCAAGGUACCCUACUUUACACUGCCACCUAAAAGGGAUGUUGUGGAGGACGCCAAUGCGGUAAUUAUCACAGAAGAUGGAAGUGAAUUCAAUGUUGAUGAAAUUUACAAAGCUGAGUCUUCAUAUAUUAGUGGUCUAAAAUCUAUGGAGGAGUUCAGUCAUAUUGAAAUUCCAUCUAAUGCCCCACCAGAGAUUGAUGAAGCGAUGCUCGAGGAUCCCCUGACGCAGAGUGCGCCUGUGAAGGACGAAUCGAUGUCCGACGCGAACGACCGUGAAGGAAGCAAGGCGGCGGCGAGUGGUGGCACGCAGCACGACAAGCUGUACACCGCCGAGGGCAUCCUCGACCCCCGCAAGAAGAAAGCGGAGAAGAAGCGGCGCAAGGGGAACAAGUUCAGCGUGCUGAACGACAUGGACGCGGACUACGACUUCAAGGUGGAUUACCAGAUGAAGGAUGCCUCCCCCGCGGACGACGAAGAUGGCGAUGGCAGCAAAGCCGAGGGCGAAGAACCCAAGGGUGAAGACGACAAGAAAGACGCCCCUGCUGCGGAGUGCGAGCCUAUGACGAGCGCAGGUUUUGGGGGUGCGAAUUAG
rnacentral:rRNA from 1 species